CUUGGCACUGGUACAUCGAAAGACUGUACUCUUAGAACAUUUUACAAUAAUAAAGAGCUGGUCUCUUAUCUUACCUAAGACCAAAAUUAACAAAAAUAAAUAAUUAUCAAAAUUAUUCACAUCCUUCAAUCCGAUACAUCGUCAAGAAUAUCCAUAAGGCAUCCAAAUUUACUUCCAAAUAAAAAAAAAAUAAAAACCAACCAUAAAAAAAAAAAGAAGCAAACAUUAUAAUAAAUUCCAUUCUAGAUCAAAACAAGAAACACCCACUUCUUGGAAAAAAAGAAACACCCACUUCGCCAUAAUCCACUCCCACCUCCAACACGGCCUGAUUCAUCAUCAUCAUCGUUAUCGUCAUCAUCAUGCCCCUGGAGCUGCGUCCUUCACCUUGCUCUGCAGGUACCCACCAUACUCUCUAGCAUAAUCUUUCACAUGGCUCGCCGUAUCAUAGAUUCGGCUCCGAGCAUAAUCAAACCGGUCCGAACCCGGUGGACUCAUCCCUCUAUAAUACCUAUACAUCCAGAAUAAUCCACCCACAACCGCCACUGCCACCUCACAAAUCGACAAGAACCCGGCAAUGGAAAGAAAGAGGAAGAUUCCAACGGGGAGCCAUAUUGGGCUGGAAAUAAUGAUCAAAGGAGCGAAAAAGAUAAGGCUAAGAACAGCAACUGUGAUAGUGAUGCCUGAGAGGAUGAGAAGAAUGGAACCAGAGAUGAGGACAGUCAAGAAACCGACGAGUUGGGUUGACUUCGGAGCAUGAGCUUGGAGUUUACGUAGAAAGGCGGAAACAUAUGUUGUGGCGUCGGGCCUUGAAGCUUGCUGAGGAGGAGCACGGUCAGCCAUGGGAAGAAGCUUGAUUGGCGAUAGAGAUGUAGAGAGAGAAAGAGAGUGAGAGAG
rnacentral:misc_RNA from 1 species